rnacentral:rRNA from 1 species
UGGGGAAUAUUGGGCAAUGGGCGCAAGCCUGACCCAGCAACGCCGCGUGAAGGAAGAAGGCCCUCGGGUUGUAAACUUCUUUUAUCAAGGACGAAGAAAGUGACGGUACUUGAUGAAUAAGCCACGGCUAACUACGUGCCAGCAGCCGCGGUAAUACGUAGGUGGCAAGCGUUAUCCGGAUUUACUGGGUGUAAAGGGCGUGUAGGCGGGAUGGUAAGUCAGAUGUGAAAACUCAGGGCUCAACCCUGAGCCUGCAUUUGAAACUAUCGUUCUUGAGUGUUGGAGAGGCAGGCGGAAUUCCGUGUGUAGCGGUGAAAUGUGUAGAUAUACGGAGGAACACCAGUGGCGAAGGCGGCCUGCUGGACAAUAACUGACGCUGAGGCGCGAAAGCGUGGGGAGCAAACAGGAUUAGAUACC